rnacentral:pre_miRNA from 12 species
GAUGUUCGAAAGGAGGUUGUCCGUGAUGUAUUUGCUUUGUUUAUGGCAGAUAUUGCACGGUUGAUCUCUUUUCAUCAUC